GUGGAUUAGAUACCCUGGUAGUCCACGCUGUAAACGAUGGAUACUAGGUGUGGGAGGUAUCGACCCCUUCCGUGCCGCAGUUAACACAAUAAGUAUCCCACCUGGGGAGUACGGCCGCAAGGUUGAAACUCAAAGGAAUUGACGGGGGCCCGCACAAGCAGUGGAGUAUGUGGUUUAAUUCGAAGCAACGCGAAGAACCUUACCAGGGCUUGACAUACCUCUGACGUAGGUAGAGAUAUCUAUUCCCUUCGGGGCAGAGGAUACAGGUGGUGCACGGUCGUCGUCAGCU
rnacentral:rRNA from 1 species